CACAACCCGGCCCGCUCCUCAAGUCAUCAUCUGCUGCCCCAGUCGCAUGCCCGUAAGGGUUUCCAUGCCUCCAGAGCGGCGGCGGCGGCUGGUAACACUUUCGCCAAGGCGUCGGCCACUGCGCUCCCCUGCGGCGGGCUUGAGGGGAUCUGUGCCAGGCGCGUGCUGCGGAGGAAGCAGCUGCCCUCGGCAACGGCGGCGUGGACGUCAGAGUUCUCCGCCCCUCUUAUGCUAUCAGACCAGCAGCUACACCGGAUCAGGCCGCUCGAGGUGGACGGGGUUGGAACCGAGGUGUACUCCCUGACCAGCGCUCCUACAUCAGCAUGACGGCGUCGCUCCUCCAACUUCCCUCACUGAUUAUAGUCUUCAAAAUUUUGGCUCGUACUACCACCACCUUCUCUACGCAGAUGUAUAGGUAAAUGUGAGUCGGCCUUCAAACUCGCCAAAAACCGAUAUGUACAUACAUUCAAGGGUUAUCAUUCUCUUAAAUCUCGAUGAAUUUAUAUCUGUUUACAUUAGGAACUGAGGGAAAUAGGAAUCAUUUUGUUCGUGAUACUUGGUUACAUGAGCUUUUUCUCUUCUGUGUAGGCCAAAAUUGUACAAAGUUAUCUCCUGAAGUUAUAUCGAAGGUGACUUCUAUGAGGUUCUGAAAAAUGAAAUGCGGUAAAAAGUAAAGCCCAGUUGCAGCAACACGUUUAGACUGCAAUGAAGAGGAGCCAUUGUUGAUCAGGCUGCAAGGUCAAUAAACAAUGUUAGUCCAUAAUGUUGCUUAAUAUGGAUGAGAAUCGUAAAAGAUAUAUUUUCAUGGAUUGAUAAUGCACCUCUAGAAUGCUUAGACCCUGGUGCAACGCACGGGCAAUUACCUAGUUUAAAAGGAAAAAAAAAACUCAACACUGUUAGAUGGCCUAACAUUGUCCCCGCCCACGAGCGGAGCAUGUUCCAUAGAAUUCGAGAAACUCCUGGGCUUGCUUAGAUGGGGCAUGUUUUUUAUGUACUCCUCGGUGUUUAGCUUAAGUCUGAGCUAAAUAUUGAAGAGCGCACAAAAAAUACACCUAAUUCAAACAUGCAUGCUAUUUUGCUCUAGCAACUCCGUAGUAGACACACUUUCGGGAUGCCACAUUUUUAGGGACAUGUAUAUCACAGAACUGUAGG